ACCCCUGAAUCGGCAGAAUUUUCGAGGCUAUUGCGAUUCUGUAAAGGAAGGGUGGGAGACAUCUGGGCGCUCGGGGGUCACAUUAGCGCAGCAUUUGGAACGGUGUGUGGAACAUGGUCGUUUACAUUUCAUUUCCUUAAAUUUCAAUUUCUCUCUUCCAUUUGGAUUCAUUUUUCUAUUGUAAAACGGCUAUAGCCUUACGCGCGUGCGUCCAGUUUCAAUAAUCUUAUUGCGCAAACCCGAUGACACAUUAGGGUUUAUUCCAUCUAUAUACGCUGAUCAGCCAGGAGUUAUGAAUUUCUAUUUUGCAGUAUUUGCCUUCAUGGCACCGUGCAUUUUUGUUAUAGUAACGGUAGGGGUAUCAUGUAUAAUUCAUCGAAGGAGGCAGAGUCGGCUUUGAAAACGCUCACUUCUAUGAUGGACGCUCUGGGUCGUAUUAGUGAUCACCAUCAGUCACAGACACCAGACCUCUGGAAGCCUCCCUGGGACCUCUGGAAGCCUCCCUGGGAGCUCUCAUCAUGACAAUCCACAAGCACGCUGGCAGUGAAGAUGCCAAGACCCUCAUUAAGAAAGAGCUAACCAACCUCAUCAAGGCUAAGCUGCCAAAUAUUGCUGGGAAGGGUGGUCCUGAAGUGGGGCACCUGAUGACAAUGCUGGACCAGAACGCUGACGACUCCAUGAACUUCAAGAAGUACAUCACCUUGAAUGGAUCCCUUACAUGUGCAACUCUGCCCUAGUGGGAAAAUGCCAGCUUCCAUCUGCUUUGUACAGUGUAUUACAUUACACUCGUGCACCCCCCUCCUGCAAAUCAAAAUGCGUCUGGAUUUACCGGUAAUAUUCUCAACUCCAGAGCAUAAAAAAAACUCCCAUAGGCCUAUUUCCUGUGGGAUCAGGCGCAUGCUUUCUCUCUAAAAUGCUAUGUUUUAAUAGGCCCACCAAGAACCCAUGUUAUCUAUAUCUAUUAUAAAACAGUAGGCCUGUAGGCUAGGGCUGGUCCUGCAUGUCCGAUGCGCAAAAUGCACAUCCAAAUUGGGAGUGAGAAUGUAAUUUUCACUUCUCCAGUGUAGGCUGACUAAUCUACCAGCUCACGUUUGUUGCCUAUGUUGUAGGCCUAGUGCUAGUUUGACUCAUUGUGUACAGUACUUUGCUUUAUUUGACAGCAUUAUUUUAAAGGAUUUGAGGGGUAGUUUAAGAGUUGGGAAAAACAGGGCAAUGAGUCAUUAGAUCAGCCAUUGAAGAUUUUAUGCACAGGGAAUAGGCUGCUAUAAGCCCAUAGCACUUUUGAUAGUAUACCUUGGAUACUGUGGAUUGCUGCAUGUUGCAUACAUGAUGUGUAUAAACCCUGGAUGACUGACAGGGGGCACUGUAUUGAAGUCACCUCACAGCCAUCUUGGCAUCUCUGCAAUGUAAAACAUAUUUUUAAAGAUAUAGAAAUGCAUUUAUUAAUGUCUACAUUCGUUUUUUGACACAUUUAUUAUAUUACAGACACAAUAAUGCACACUUUUAAAUUAUAUUAUGUGAGCUAAACAUAUAUAUAUAUAUAUAUAUAUAUAUAUAUAUAUAUAUAUAUAUAUAUAUAUAUAUAUAUAUAUAUAUAUAUAUAUUUAAAAAAAUCCUUGAAGUAUAUAUUUUUGGAGAGUUGUUCCUGUUCCCAACAACAAAAAUACUUAAAUAGCCGUGGGAAGUAGGGGUGCUGAGGGUGCUGCAGCCACCCUUGAUAGAUUACAAUAAAGAAAGUAUUAAUAAAAAAUACAUAUAUGUUUUUUUAAGAAAAUAAAAAAAUUGUGCACUAGGCCUUUAUUACUCCUGUAUGAGAGGAGCAGAGAAAAGAAGUCCUUAUCAGCAGAGCCUGCCUCCGUUCUUUCACCAUUCAUUGUUCCCAUAGGGGGAUUUUACAACCACUUCAAACAAGGUCUGUGUUUCAUGUAGGCUUUCCCUGGCGUGACAUUUUGAUAACCGUGUAAAUCUCUCUCGGACAAGGUGACUUUUAUCAAUAUAUUCCGCUCUAUUUACCCCCAGAUUCUAAAAUGCUAAUUAGCCUCAAAGGCGACAUAUGAAAACCUACAAAUCCAUGCAAGCUCCUGCGCGUCAUCUUUAGCUGACACCUUUGCUGUCAGCUAGCUAACUACUAGCUACUGUGUUAGAGCUAGGCCGUAACAAAACCCUUCCAACACUCCUGCUCUUCAGGACUUCCUGCAAUGACUGAAACAGACCAAAGCCGGAGAAUAGUAUAAACAGCUUACCUAGUUGAGAGGUGAUAAGACUCAGGCAUACCCAUUGGUUCUGGAAUAGAGAAGGUUUGCAAUUUGGCAUCAAUUACAUGACAGUAAUUCUACCUAAAAAACAAACGUGUGAAUACCAAUUACCUUUCAUAUUGGUAGUUACAGUCUUGUCCCAUCGCUGCAACUCACGUACGGACUCGGGAGAGGCGAAUGUCGAGAGCCAUGCCUCCUCCAAAAACACAACCCCGCCAAGCUGCUUCUUGACACAACGCACGCAUAACCCGGAAACCAGCUGCACUAAUGUUUCAGAGGAAACACAGUACACCUGGCAACUGUGUCAGCGUGCAUGCGCCCGGCCCACCACUGGAGUCGCUAGAGCACGAUGGGACAAGGACAUCCCGGAUGGCCAAACCCUCCCCUAACCCAGACGAUGCUGGCCCAAUUGUGCGUCGCCUCAUGGGUCUCCCGGUCGUGGCCUGGUAUCAAACCAGGAUCUGUAGUAAGGCAGCUAGCACUGUGAUGCAGUGCCUUAGACCGCUGCGUCACUCAGGAGGCCACAAUUCCAAUUAAUUUAAACCCCAUUAUAACAAGUAGGACUAAAUAAGGUUACAUAACCUUAUUUAGUCCUACUUGUUAUACAAAUUGCAGUCUAGUAGCUAUACUAAUAAUUUGCUGUCCAGAGUGUAACAGCAAACAGAUCAAUGUCUUCCCGAAGUAAAGUAAGUAGAAAGUUGACUCAAGAGAUGCUAAUUGGUCAAAACUCUCAAAAAGCCAGACCAAUAUAAUACAGCUAGCUAGCUAGGGUAACUACAAGUCAAGUGGUAGGUUACUGGGAAUAGGCUUCCCACCCCUCACCCACAGACACAAACAAACAUGAUCAAGAAUGCCUAGCUUCAUCAUCAAAGUUAGCUAGCUAGUUAACUAGCAAGCUAGACUGUUGGUUUAUAAAAGCCAAAGAAAGCAAACGUUGUUUUUAGGAAUUUCUCAUGCAUUUAAAUAUCAAGACAAAUAGAUGGCUAAUGUAGCCAGUCUACAUUUGGCCACCCAAGUGGCGCAGUGGUCUAAGGCAUUGCAUCUCAGCUAUUGGCGUCACUAUAGACAACCUGGUUUGAAUCCAGACUGUAUCACAACCGGACAUGAUUGGGAGUCCCAUAGAACGGCGCACAAUUGAACCAGCGUCGUCUGAGUUUGGCCGGUGUAGGCCAUCAUUGUAAAUAAGAAUUUGUUCUUAACUGACUUGCCUAGUUAAAUAAAGGUGAAAUUAAAAAUGCUAACUAGCUAACCAUUAGUUAGCUAACCAUUAGCUAGCUAGCUAGCCUACAACUCAACAUCUUACAGGAACAAGCUCACUGGCCAAGCACACGCACGUUCGUGGAUGCAAGGUCCGAUCACUUCUGACACCAAUGAAAUGAAACAGACAGGGAGCAGGUCUCGAGCCCUCAACAUUCUGGCCCGAAUUCCAGCACGCCAUCGACUGUGCCCCAAAAGCAUGCUCGAGCGGCAGAGUCGAUAUCUACCCUUAUAAACCUAGAGUUGUUACAGUAUUGAUAAAAGUAGACUUGUCCGAGAGUGAUUUACAGUUAUCAAAAAUACAGUUAUCAAUCAAAGUGUUUCUAAAAUCCCCCAUGGGAAAAAGUAAUGGUGGACAAACGAUUGGAACCGUUUCCAUGUUUGACCACUAGGUUUUAUGGGUAUUAUGACUCAUACUGUGAUACUUUAUACUUUAUAGCAUCAGAAAUCCAGGGUUUAUAUACAUAAAUGGUUGCAUAUUAAGGGUGUGUUCGUAAAUUCCCUCUGGAGUGUCAGAGUGCGCUCGGAGUGUGCUCUGGGCGUUCAUAAAUUCAGAGUGUUGUCAGAUUGUCCAUUUGUAAAUUCAGAGCUGAUCCGAGUGUUCUGACCUCGCCCAUUUUACUCGCCCUAGCAGAGCUGGUUAGGAUGUUUUCAUGUUAUCUAGAGCGUUGGUGAUGAUAACUGUGAUGCUGGCAACAAUUUAAUUACGUUUUUUUGCCGACGUUUACUGAUAUCGGUCAUAUUCAACGGGUGUUGCACGUUCAUAAAUGCAUCUGUUAUUGCUCUGGCACACUCAGACGAGUGCUCAGAAAUCGGAGUAAAUAACCAGAGUGAAUUUACGAACUCACCCUAAUAUUACUAUUGGGAUGUAUAAUUGCUAUGGUAAUUUGGAAUAUCCAGUCAAUGAGCAUUAUGGGUAAUGUAGUCAUUAUACAGAAUCUACAUUGCAAGUGCUUACAAGUGCUUACAUCAUUGACAUUGUAACAGCAUGGUAUCCCAGGGAAAAAAACUGGAAAAUAAACAAAAAUACAAAAUACAGGAGGACAUGUUUCUUUUAAGCCUAAAAUUAAGAAAUGAAUCGUAAAAUCAACUGCAGUUUAGAGGCUUAAGGUAUAGAUGCCACAUAAAUAAAUGCCUGUUUAAUUUGAA